UUGAGGGUGAUGCCUGCCCUAUGGUUGAAACUUAAAGGGGUGGAUUGCAAGUUUGCCCUGUAAGGUCAAUUAAAUGGCCGCGGUAACUCUGACCGUGAUAAUGUAGCGUAAUCAAUAGCCAAUUAAUUGUUGGCCAGUAUGAAUGGCGCCACGAAUGCCCCACUGUCUUAAGCAAAUACCCAGUGAAAUUGAAAUCGUAGUGAAGAUGCUACGCCGUAAUUGUAAGACGAAAAGACCCCGUUGAGCUUUACUGGCACACUUUUUAUUGCCCUCUCUAUUCUUGAUACCUUGUUAGACUCCAAAUGUUGGACACUAUAUCAAAGAACCAAAAAUAGAAUUAAUUAACAUAAGCGGAUUAGAUUAAGUGGAGCGCCCCCUAUUAUGGGCAAAUACUAAAACAUGAAACACCACUCCCUUAUGACUAAAGGGCUUACCCCUCCUCAGCCCAAACGAGGCUGUGGGGAGACAAUAAAAGUCGGACAGUUUGGUUGGGGCGACCACCUUUUAAAAAGUAACGAAGGUGCUCAUAUGGUAGCAACAUCGCAUGGCAGGUCUACCUGACUGUGAGGGGGACACCCCGAGCAGACACCCCCCUCUGUCACUAAAUUUAGUGAUCGUAUGGGGGGGUGGGACAUAGAGACCCAUUGGUUUUGAGUGAAAAAGAUAGCCAAUGAUCAACGGAUAAAAGUUACCACGGGGAUAACAGCGUAAUAUUUUUAGAGAGACUUCAUCGACGAAAAUGUUUGCGACCUCGAUG
rnacentral:rRNA from 1 species